UACAGAGGUCGUCAACCGUUGUUUCGGAUUUCAUUUGGGCGUAAAGGGUGCGUAGGCGGUCGCGCAAGUCGGAUGUGAAAUCUCAGGGCUCAACCCUGAAACUGCAUUCGAAUACUGCGUGGCUAGAAUGCUGGGAGAGGAGACUGGAAUUUUACGGUGUAGCAGGUGAAAAUGCGUAGAUAUCGUAAGGAAGACCAGUGGCGAAGGCGAGUCUCUGGACAGCAACUGACGCUGAGGAGACGAAAGCGUGGGGAGCGAACAGG
rnacentral:rRNA from 1 species